AGUGAACGCUGGCGGUAGGCCUAACACAUGCAAGUCGAACGGCAGCACAGUAAGAGCUUGCUCUUACGGGUGGCGAGUGGCGGACGGGUGAGGAAUACAUCGGAAUCUACUUUUUCGUGGGGGAUAACGUAGGGAAACUUACGCUCAUACCGCAUACGACCUACGGGUGAAAGCAGUGGAUCUUCGGACCUUGCGCGAUUGAAUGAGCCGAUGUCGGAUUAGCUAGUUGGCGGGGUAAAGGCCCACCAAGGCGACGAUCCGUAGCUGGUCUGAGAGGAUGAUCAGCCACACUGGAACUGAGACACGGUCCAGACUCCUACGGGAGGCAGCAGUGGGGAAUAUUGGACAAUGGGCGCAAGCCUGAUCCAGCCAUACCGCGUGGGUGAAGAAGGCCUUCGGGUUGUAAAGCCGUUUUGUUGGGAAAGAAAAGCAGCAGGUUAAUACCCCGCUGUUCUGACGGUACCCAAAGAAUAAGCACCGGCUAACUUCGUG
rnacentral:rRNA from 1 species